CAACUCGAGCCAUUGCAUUACACUGCCGAGAUCGGAUUUCCAGCGCCGUCGCUAGAGAAUUAAAGUAAUCGGAUUUUCCGGAGGCGCGAGGCGGCGGAGUGAUGGCCGCUAUCAAGGAGCUGACACGCGAUCUAGAGAACAAAGCCAACGAUUUCAGAAAACUUGAGAAAGAUAUUCAGAAGAACCAGCAAGUGAAAAAGAAGUACACCAUUCAGCUCGGCGAAAACGAGCUCGUGCUCAAGGAACUGGAUUUGUUGAACGAGGACACGAAUGUGUACAAAUUGAUUGGUCCGGUGCUAGUGAAGCAGGAUUUGGCUGAGGCUAAUGCCAAUGUUCGGAAGCGGAUUGAAUAUAUCUCUGCCGAAUUGAAACGCUUAGAUAGUACUCUUCAAGAUUUACAAGAAAAACUAAAUAGCAAGCAAGAAUCGAUUGCCAAGCUACAACAAAGAAUCCAGGCUCUUCAAGCUGGAAAAGCAAAGGCCUAAUAUGGAAAGGAAUACGUGCUAGCCAUAGAAAUGCUCAAAUUUGGUAUCAAAUGAACUCUCUAGAGAUGUCACGUUUAUAGAAGAAUAUUCUCAUGAUUACAGGUUUCUGUAAAAGUGAUGGUUGUUUUCAAAUGUCUGAAUUUGGAGAACCGUCUUCGAUGCCAUAUUAACUGGCAAUCAGCUUAUGUGUCUGUGGGUAAGGCUGAACAUAGUGGCUGCUCUCUCAUCUCUCACUUACCACAUUCAUGAAGCAACUUCUGAAUGGAAGGCAUGAUUUUGAUGCUGGACAAUCGUGGAUAAAUUCUCAUGCAUAUAUACCAUGAUGACAUUCUUGAAUCUUGAAACUUAAGGCCCCACGUAGCACUCGGGGCCGAUUAUGUGUUUGCGUACUUGAUAGAUCUUUCAGAUUUUGGUCUUGUUAGUGUGUUGCAGAGGUUAUUUUUUGCAGUUUUCUUUCCAGUUCUGGAUCCUGUUAGUAUAUAUCAAAAUUUAUUAUUUGGGACGUU